UGUCCGAUUGAAACAAAAAUUCUAGAGAACUGUAACUUGUCCGAUUGAAGGAAGCAUUAGUGAAAUUCUUUUCUUUAUUACUUCAAUUCGACAAAUCUCAGUUGUAUAAGUUAUCGUUUCCGAUUUUCUACUUGAUUCUUUACUGAGCUCUUCCUGUUCCAAAGCGGAAAAUGUGCAAAGCGUUUGAAAUUUCAUAACAGAUGAAGCGACAAAAUGGACGCAGUGUUCGAUCCGCUAAGAGAGUGAGCCAAUAAGAGCGAUCGCCUCGUCAAGAAGUGCCGCAAGCCCGAUCGCUCAUGCGAUUCUGUAGGGCGAUGGUUUAGAAUUCUCGAGGGUGACAUUUCGUACAUAUUUAGAGUUUGUGGUGACGGGAUUCAUCUCUUCUUCGUCCUUAUAACAACAUCAUCGUUGGAUCUGGCUAGGAGUGCGACGCAAGCUUGAAAUGGUCAAAGAGGGUCCCAAAUACACAGUUCAUAGAAGUGGGACAAUCCAUGGCAUCCAGUGGUAUGCUUUUACUCUCUUGUUUAAUUAUCUCUCUCCCUCCCUGUCUCCCCCCCCCCCCCUUCUCUCUCUGUGUGUGAUUUCUAACUUC